CUGGUAGUUAAACUGAGAAAGACUGAGUAGAUGUGGCUGUCCCAACGCUACCUGCUUUCUUCCUCUUGCUGGCUGAGAUCCCAGGUAGAAGCUCUCAACAUGGAUAUUGAAUAGAAUAUGCCAUAAACUCUAAGCAAUCCUUCGAGGAAGACUGAAAGGGCAGAGGUAAACACCUGCUUUGUGAGGUCCACCCUGCUCUCCAUCCAGCCGCAAAGUCAGAGAAAG
rnacentral:lncRNA from 1 species